rnacentral:rRNA from 1 species
GACGAACGCUGGCGGCGUGCUUAACACAUGCAAGUCGAACGAUGAAGCCUUAGCUUGCUUUGGUGGAUUAGUGGCGAACGGGUGAGUAACACGUGAGCAACGUGCCCAGGACUCUGGAAUAACCGCGGGAAACCGUGGCUAAUACCGGAUAGGUGCCGAGGCCGCAUGGUCUUCGGUUGGAAAGUUGUUGCGGUUCUGGAUCGGCUCACGGCCUAUCAGCUUGUUGGUGGGGUAAUGGCCUACCAAGGCGACGACGGGUAGCCGGCCUGAGAGGGUGACCGGCCACACUGGGACUGAGACACGGCCCAGACUCCUACGGGAGGCAGCAGUGGGGAAUAUUGCACAAUGGGCGCAAGCCUGAUGCAGCAACGCCGCGUGGGGGAUGACGGCCUUCGGGUUGUAAACCUCUUUUAGUAGGGAAGAAGCGCAAGUGACGGUACCUGCAGAAAAAGCACCGGCUAACUACGUG